GUAGGGAAUAUUGCGCAAUGGGGGAAACCCUGACGCAGCAACGCCGCGUGAGUGAGGAAGGUCUUCGGAUUGUAAAACUCUUUUAUUAGGGAAAAAUGUCUAGGUGGCUAAUAUCCACUUAGAGUGAUGGUACCUAAGGAAUAAGCACCGGCUAACUUCGUGCCAGCAGCCGCGGUAAUACGAAGGGUGCAAGCGUUGUUCGGAAUCAUUGGGCGUAAAGCGCGCGCAGGCGGGUCAGUAAGUCAGGUGUGAAAUCUCGGAGCUCAACUCCGAAACUGCGCCUGAAACUAUUGGUCUAGAGUAUCGGAGGGGACAGGGGAAUUUCACGUGUAGGGGUAAAAUCCGUAGAGAUGUGAAGGAACACCGGAGGCGAAGGCGCCUGUCUGGACGAUUACUGACGCUGAGGCGCGAAAGCGUGGGGAGCAAACAGGAUUAGAUACCCGAGUAGUCC
rnacentral:rRNA from 1 species